UACGUAGGGUGCGAGCGUUGUCCGGAAUCAUUGGGCGUAAAGGGCGCGUAGGUGGUCUGCUAAGCGUGCGGUGAAAGCUCGGGGCUCAACCCCGAGUCGGCCGUGCGAACUGGUGGGCUUGAGCACUGUAGAGGCAGGCGGAAUUCCGGGUGUAGCGGUGGAAUGCGUAGAGAUCCGGAAGAACACCGGUGGCGAAGGCGGCCUGCUGGGCAGUAGCUGACACUGAGGCGCGACAGCGUGGGGAGCAAACAGG
rnacentral:rRNA from 1 species